UACAGAGGGUGCAAGCGUUAAUCGGAUUUACUGGGCGUAAAGCGUGCGUAGGCGGCUCGCUAAGUCGGUUGUGAAAGCCCUUGGCUUAACUGAGGAAGUGCAUCCGAAACUGGCAGGCUAGAGUACUAAAGAGGGUCGCGGAAUUCCCGGUGUAGAGGUGAAAUUCGUAGAUAUCGGGAGGAACACCAGUGGCGAAGGCGGCGAUCUGGGUCGAUACUGACGCUGAGGCACGAAAGUGUGGGGAGCAAACGGG
rnacentral:rRNA from 1 species